rnacentral:rRNA from 1 species
GAUGAACGCUAGCUACAGGCUUAACACAUGCAAGUCGAGGGGAAACGGCAUCGAAAGCUUGCUUUUGAUGGGCGUCGACCGGCGCACGGGUGAGUAACGCGUAUCCAACCUGCCCAUCACUUGGGAAUAACCUUGCGAAAGUAAGACUAAUGCCCAAUGACAUCCCACGAAGGCAUCCGAAUGGGAUUAAAGAUUUAUCGGUGAUGGAUGGGGAUGCGUCUGAUUAGCUUGUUGGCGGGGUGACGGCCCACCAAGGCAACGAUCAGUAGGGGUUCUGAGAGGAAGGUCCCCCACAUUUGAACUGAGACACGGACCAAACUCCUACGGGACGCAGCAGUAAGGAAUAUUAGUCAAUGGGCGAGAGCCUGAACCAGCCAAGUAGCGUGCAGGAUGACGGCCCUAUGGGUUGUAAACUGCUUUUAUAAGGGAAUAAAGUGGGUCACGUGUGACUUUUUGCAUGUACCUUAUGAAUAAGGACCGGCUAAUUCCGUG